UAACAUAUCGAGAGUCAGUCUAUUUUACCAGGUCAUGAGGGAGGUGGCGGAUAAUUGGUCAGAGAACCUCUUUACUGCAUCCCCGUUUUCAUUCAUGAAUCUCUGUUGAUUAUAAAAGAUGUCAUUAAUCCAAUCCACAUUUCUAUUUAUUGUCAACCACCAAAAUAAUGUAGUGUUAAAGCCUUCACAUAUUUGAUUCUUAGCUUUAUAUUCAUCUGUACCUUCCCUGAGGAUGCCAAUAGCAUCCAUCUAGACAAAGCUACUCCCAUCCUGGUCAAAGCUCCUCCUGUGCCUACUUUAGCCUCCUAUAACUGGCCUCUGAUGACUAACUUGAACUGGUUGGACCUAUAACCCCAGGGCGCAAGUUCCUAACCACCCUUUGUGGUAAUUUCUGUCGUAUGCGUCCUUUGCUGGUACUGGCCCACCCUACAUCAGUUAUAGGUGCUAUGAGGAUAAGAAUUUUCUCCUGUGCUUUCAGACCUAAGUCAGUCACAUUAACGAUUACCUUUCAGCCAUUAAAAUCAUCUACGUUCUCGGUGCCAUUCUUGUAUACAUAACACUGGUGCUCAUCAGGAAUUUAGGUGAACCGUGGCGGGUUGGCUGAGUACUUCAAUCUGGCCAACCCCAAUUCCUGUACAGUUCUCUGCUUCCCCAGGAAAUUGUUUAAUGUUUACCUUAAAUUCUACAUCUUGAUCUUCUUUGAUUCCUUAUUCUGUAUGUCACUCAUCGGUGUAUUAUAUAGUUUAUCUUCUACUUCUUCUCAAUAACAACGGUAUUGUAUGAUUAGUACCGGAAGGUGUUGAAUCUGAAUGUAUCAGAAAGGUUACCAAAACUAUGAUGCAGCUCAGAGUCCCUACUCUUCCCAAAAACCGCCAACCCUCUCCUGCCCUUAGUCGAUCUGCUAGGUACCACCCCAUACUCACACCUCUAGGAGCACACACAGUGAUGAACGGUCGGGAUAGGGAAUCUUCGUUAAGGAGGUAAACCCCGGACCCUGUUGGUACUCGGUUCUUCUCCUAACUCUGCGUGUGAUCAGCAGUGCUCAUAUGUGUACAUACUUGCAGUGGGUAACGUGGACCCAAGUGACUCUCUCAGCUUUUCUAAUGGCAAAGGCAAUGGUUUAAUAUCCUAAAGCUAAGUGAACCAAAUUCUCUUCCUAUCUACUCCUGCUGGCCCCCCUCCUUUCUUCCUGCUACUCCCCAACCCUCAAGGCUUCAGCAGUGCAGGGGAGGAUUUCUCCGUCUGCCCUUCUAUCUCCUUGAGGGUUGGGGAGUAGC
rnacentral:lncRNA from 1 species